AUUGAACGCUGGCGGCAGGCCUAACACAUGCAAGUCGAACGAGUGGCGGACGGGUGAGUAAUGUCUGGGAAACUGCCUGAUAGAGGGGGAUAACUACUGGAAACGGUAGCUAAUACCGCAUACCAUCAGAUGUGCCCAGAUGGGAUUAGCUAGUUGGUGGGGUAACGGCUCACCAAGGCGACGAUCCCUUGCUGGUCUGAGAGGAGUACCAGCCACACUGGCACUGAGACACGGUCCAGACUCCGACGGGAGGCAGCCGGGGGGAAUAUUGUACAAUGGGCGCAAGCCUGAUGCAGCCAUGCCGCGUGUAUGAAGAAGGCCUUCGGGUUGUAAAGUACGUUCAGCGGGGAGGCGUUACCCGCAGAAGAAGCACCGGCUAACUCCGUGCCAGCCGCCGCGGUAAUAC
rnacentral:rRNA from 1 species